rnacentral:snRNA from 3 species
GUGCUCACUUCAGCAGCACAUAUACUAAAAUUGGAAGAAGAUCGGCAUGGCCCCUGUGCAAGGACGACAUGCAAAUUUGUGAAGCAUUCCGUAUUUUU